rnacentral:misc_RNA from 1 species
GCUCGCUGUUGGGUGGCUUUGAUUUUGGCUGAUUUCGCUGUGGUUUUGGGAGCGUCGCUGGCUGUGGUGGUUAUUUGCAAGGAAUUGGGGUCGUUGGCGGUGGUUGCGGCGUCGUCAGGAGAGAGUUUACGGACUUUGCGAGGCCGGGAAGGAGGUAUUUUGGCCAGAGGAGAUGCGGUUUGCUGAGGGAUGCUGAUUAAUUCAGUGGUGGUAAUGGUGGUGUUGAUAGAAGAAGUGAUGGGGUCAUGGUGGGGCUGUGACUGAGGCUGCGUUUGAACCUGGGCUUGGAUUUGGGACUGGGGUUGAGAUUGGGGUUGGGGCUGAGGAAGGGGUUGUGGCUGUGGUUGUGGUUGCGAUUGGUAUUGCGUUUGCUCGCCCAUGUGCGAUCAGAGAAAUUGAUGGUGGGUUUGAGCAGACCAACAGUGCCAAUGUCGUCGGUGGCUUUGGUGGUGGUGGUGGUGGUGGUGGUGGUA